CAAGCAUCCUCAGAGGUCUGUGGAUCAUUGAAUGUAUGGAUUUGGAACCCAGGGAUAUGGAGGAUGGAUGGCACAAUUCAGGCAAUCCCAGGGUUUCCACCAAACUGGACGAAAGAAAGAAGGAAGAUCUGCAAUAUCUAAUCGAUGCAUGAAGAGCAUGGUCCAAGGCUGGAAGAGGUCCCUCUAUGGAAUCAUCAGAGAAGAUCUUGGAGCCCUGGUCUCUUAAUCCCCUGGUAUUUUCUCCAUCACUUUUCCUUUCAUUGAGCCAGAAUGAAAAGUACAUACUGUCUCUUCUUCGUAACGUCCGAAUCCAUGUCCUCCCUCCAAUUCUAUUUCAUGUUGUUUCCCCCAAGUUUAACCAUUAAACCGCCCCUGCCCUGGUCUGUCCAUCCUCCAGGAAGCAGGACGGGACCAUUUACGCAUUCAUUAUUAUUAAAAUAAUUGUUUGUUGUUGUGUG
rnacentral:lncRNA from 11 species